AAACAAUAGCAUUAAAAUGCAUACCGGUUUCGAUUCAGUAAGAGCGGCAACGCAUUGUUUU
rnacentral:tRNA from 1 species